rnacentral:rRNA from 1 species
UACGGAGGGUGCAAGCGUUAAUCGGAAUUACUGGGCGUAAAGCGUGCGCAGGCGGUUUUGUAAGCCAGAUGUGAAAUCCCCGGGCUUAACCUGGGAAUGGCAUUUGGGACUGCAAGGCUCGAGUGCGGCAGAGGAGACUGGAAUUCCUGGUGUAGCAGUGAAAUGCGUAGAUAUCAGGAGGAACACCGAUGGCGAAGGCAGGUCUCUGGGCUGACACUGACGCUCAUGCACGAAAGCGUGGGGAGCAAACAGG